rnacentral:lncRNA from 1 species
UUGCUACUAAUGAAAAACAGUAGCGGGUUUCCUCUCUAAGACUAUGUCCAAUUUACCAAACAUUUGACAUCCAAUGAUUAAUACAUCAAUGUGCUCCGAUAGUAUGUCGUGAAAGAAACCAAACUUGACUUGACUUUAUUUUCUCACAGAAAUGGAUUCUGAACCAGGUGUUGGGUGUGGCGGUGGCUCCGUUUAGCUGGUGGACAGGACUGACCUCUCUGAGUGAGCCCGGACUGUGGCUAUACACACGGCCACAAGACAACACGAAGCCCGUCCUCCAACUCGUGUACGUUAUACUUCAAAUACUAUUCAGUCAGUGAGUAAGCGAGCGAGUGAGAAAUCUGUGUACAUGCUCAUACGGGGGGUCGGGGGUGGUCAGAGGGCUCAACUGUUCAUCACUCCGUCCCUACCCACCAAUCCUGGAACAGAUCUUCGCAAUGAAUCAAAAACGAUGCGGACGUUCGAGUAAAACAAGCUAGCCUGAAACCUUUCCAGCAUGUAGUUCCAUUAUUCUACUCACAAUGUUAGUUUGUAAUACAUGUAAUAAUGCAGAGUCGUUCGUCUGCAUCCCUAUAUUACAAUAUAGCUGUUUGGUAGUAAUAUAAUACAAAUAUGAAUACAUGUUGUUAUCCGGAUUCGUAAAUUAACGUUUCAUUCAGGCAAAAAUCAGCCUCCCCCCCCCUCCCCCCCCCAAAAAAAAAUUAAUAAUAAAAAAAAUAGAAAAUAAAUAAAUAAAUAAUAAUAAUAAUAAUAAUAACAAAACAAAAAAAACAAAAAACACAUGGAAAAAAAAUCCCAGGAAAGUAAAGAAAAAAAGACCCCCAAAAAACCCAGAAAUGGGAGGCCGUACAUUUAUCUGUGUUCCUUUUAACCUUAUUCAUAUUCCGUAACUAUAUAUUUUUCUGCAUAAAAUAGAUCCCAAAUACAUGUAAAGUAAGCUUUUUGUGAUGUUUGCCUCUUCUGUUUGACGUUUAGUGUGUGGGCGACUGAACCCAACAACUACAGAGGGUCGGAGGACUGUACAGUGGUCUUUCAGGGCGGUAGACUCAAUGAUGCGAAAUGCUCCAACGCUUUUGGCUUCAUCUGUGAGAAACCCGCUGCCGGUUUGUCUGGUCCGUCGAGACCCAGUUCAUCGGCGGCGUCAGUUUCAUCCGGGUUGUUCAUCACUAUUAGUCUUGUGAUUAUCUUUAUACAAAGGACAUGAUGAUGUUGUUUUGUUUUUGUUUUUCAACCCAGUCCACAUAAACUAUACAACGUCCAGGCGCGGAUGCAGGAUUUCUGAAAGGGGGAGGAGGGGGGGGGGGGUCUAAAUUAUUUAAAGCUAAAGUCUGGAAUAUUUAUAUUAUUUAAGCAUUUAGAACAGUUAAUAUAAUCGCGUUUCCCCUUAAAGGUUAUGAUCGGUUUUCAAAAAGGGGGGUCCGGACCUCCUGGGACCCCCCACCCCUGGAUCCGCUACUGACGUCAUUCGUAGGCAGUUUGUACUUGCAGGUUCGUAGAUACUGGGAGAGGACAGGGGAAGGAGGUGUUGGGGCUGAUUCGCAUACUGGCGGGACACAAAUUUAUUUUUUCCUUUUUUUUAUCUAAAAACUUUAAAACCUUGAAAACUCUCAUCCAAAACAUUGCUAGUUUGUUCUCCAAAUACUAGGGAAUCCCCCCCCCCCCAAUAAAAUUGUUUCAUACCCCUCCCGCUCCCACCUCACACACUUCAGUUAUUGUUUCUUUGAGCCUGCUCACACUACCCCACCAAGAGCUACUUUCUUCUUUUUUUCUUUUUUCUUUUUUUUUUUCUUCUUUUUAAAAUCAGUAUUACUUUUAUAUUCGUAUCGGUCCUCCCCCAAUUCACCUCCACAAACUAUCGACGAAAGGCAUGUACACUGUACACUAGCGAUGAGUAUUCUGUUAACUUUUGUAUCGCGAUAUGGGAUUCCUGUAUCAAAAUACGUAUGAUAACAUAUUAUUUACAGCAGCGUAAAUCCAUUUUAUGGAAGACUUUUAAAAGAAAUAUACAAAAUACAAAACAAAUAAACCAUGAUAAAAGUCGAAGUUUACAAGGGCGGAUCCAGGAAAAUAAAUUUAUGUUUGGGGUGGGUGUGGUGCACCUCUGAUUUAUUAUUUAAAACAUGAAAUAUAAUUAUAUUCUUUCAUUUGUAGUUGAUUAUCGGUUUUAUAUUUAUGAAACAUUAUAGCUUAUAAGCAAGUUAUUAAUGCGAGUGUUCUAAUAUAUGCCAGAAUAUAGCUGAAAUGGCAUUUUAAUAAUUACUUGUGUGGUUGAAUACCUUCUCUCUUUUUUUUGUAUAUAUAGGAAUAUAUAGUUAUUUGUAAAUUAUUUAUAGAGGUAAAAAUGUAUCAUAUCAUGUCAUAAAGACGCAUAUAUCUAGAUUUGUUUUACGAUAUCGUAUUCUGUAGGUAACCAGUCAGUUAUUUUGUUAACAAUAAAUUACAGUACUCUGUA